rnacentral:snoRNA from 1 species
AACAACUGUGAUGAACUCUACAUACCUGUAGUGAUUUGCGAAUAUGAUCGCAAUUGUAAUGAACAUCUAAGGGACUGAGUUGUU